GAUGAAGAACGCAGCGAAAUGCGAUACUUGGUGUGAAUUGCAGAAUCCCGUGAACCAUCGAGUCUUUGAACGCAAGUUGCGCCCGAAGCCAUUAGGCCGAGGGCACGCCUGCCUGGGCGUCACACGUCGUUGCCCCCCCAUCUACUCCUUCGGGAUUGCGGGGGGCGGAUGAUGGCCUCCCGUGCGCCUCGUCGCGCGGUUGGCAUAAAUGCCAAGUCCUCGGCGACGCACGCCACGACAAUCGGUGGUUGCGAAACCUCGGUUGCCCGUCGUGUGCGGUCGUCGCGCAUCGAGGGCUCGAAAAAAUUGCCGGGCUCCGGCUCGGCUUUCAACGCGACCCCAGGUCAGGCGGGGUUACCCGCUGAAUUUAAGCAUAUCAAUAAGGAGGA
rnacentral:misc_RNA from 1 species